CGAGUUAAGUCCUAGGGACAUUAUUAUUUACAAUAAUAUAUCAGUUUGUGCAAUUCAUUCUAACUUGA
rnacentral:tRNA from 1 species